UACGGGGGGGGCAAGCGUUGUUCGGAAUUACUGGGCGUAAAGGGCUCGUAGGCGGCCAACUAAGUCAGACGUGAAAUCCCCAGGCUCAACCUGGGAACUGCGUCUGAUACUGGAUGGCUUGAAUCCGGGAGAGGGAUGCGGAAUUCCAGGUGUAGCGGUGAAAUGCGUAGAUAUCUGGAGGAACACCGGUGGCGAAGGCGGCAUCCUGGACCGGUAUUGACGCUGAGGAGCGAAAGCCAGGGGAGCAAACGGG
rnacentral:rRNA from 1 species